rnacentral:rRNA from 1 species
UACGUAGGGGGCAAGCGUUGUCCGGAAUCAUUGGGCGUAAAGCGUGCGUAGGCGGCCCGGUAAGUCCGUUGUGAAAGUCGAAGGCUCAACCUUCGAAAGCCGAUGGAUACUGCCGGGCUAGAGUACGGAAGAGGCGAGUGGAAUUCCUGGUGUAGCGGUGGAAUGCGCAGAUAUCAGGAGGAACACCAAUAGCGAAGGCAGCUCGCUGGGACGUUACUGACGCUGAGGCGCGAAAGCGUGGGGAGCGAACAGG